UGUCACUGCAGGAUGGGCCCGCGGCGCAUUAGCUAGUUGGUGGGGUAACGGCCCACCAAGGCGACGAUGCGUAGCCGACCUGAGAGGGUGAUCGGCCACACUGGGACUGAGACACGGCCCAGACUCCACGGGAGGCAGCAGUAGGGAAUCUUCCGCAAUGGACGCAAGUCUGACGGAGCAACGCCGCGUGAGUGAUGAAGGUUUUCGGAUCGUAAAACUCUGUUGCGAGGGAAGAAACCGUGCCAACUAACUAUGGCACCUUGACGGUACCUCGCCAGAAAGCCACGGCUAACUACGUGCCAGCAGCCGCGGUAAUACGUAGGUGGCAAGCGUUGUCCGGAAUUAUUGGGCGUAAAGCGCGCGCAGGCGGUCCCUUAAGUCGAUGUGAAAGCCCACGGCUCAACCGUGGAGGGUCAUUGGAAACUGGGGGACUUGAGUGCAGAAGAGGAAAGUGGAAUUCCACGUGUAGCGGUGAAAUGCGUAGAGAUGUGGAGGAACACCAGUGGCGAGCGACUUUCUGGUCUGUACUGACGCUGAGGCGCGAAAGCGUGGGGAGCAAACAGGAUUAGAUACCCUGGUAGUCCACGCCGUAAACGAUGAGUGCUAAGUGUUAGGGGUUUCCGCCCCUUAGUGCUGCAGCUAACGCAUUAAGCACUCCGCCUGGGGAGUACGGCCGCAAGGCUGAAACUCAAAGGAAUUGACGGGGGCCCGCACAAGCGGUGGAGCAUGUGGUUUAAUUCGAAGAACGCGAAGAACCUUACCAGGUCUUGACAUCCCGCUGCCCGGUGUAGAGAUACGCCUUUCCCUUCGGGGACAGCGGUGACAGGUGGUGCAUGGUUGUCGUCAGCUCGUGUCGUGAGAUGUUGGGUUA
rnacentral:rRNA from 1 species